AACGCGAAGAACCUUACCUGGGCUUGACAUGUAGUCGCAACACUCCGAAAGGAGUGCCUCCGCAAGGACGGCUGCACAGAUGCUGCAUGGCUGUCGUCAGCUCGUGUCGUGAGAUGUUGGGUUAAGUCCCGCAACGAGCGCAACCCUUGUCCUGUGUUGGCAUGCCGCAAGGCGCAACUCGCAGGAGACCGCCAGCGAUAAGCUGGAGGAAGGUGGGGAUGACGUCAAGUCAUCAUGGCCUUUAUGUCCAGGGCCACACACGUGCUACAAUGGGCGGUACAAAGCGCUGCCAACCCGCGAGGGGGAGCUAAUCGCCAAAAACCGUCCUCAGUUCGGAUCGCAGGCUGCAACUCGCCUGCGUGAAGCUGGAAUCGCUAGUAAUGCUAUAUCAGAACGAUAGCGUGAAUACGUUCCCGGGCUUGUACACACCGAUACUC
rnacentral:rRNA from 1 species